rnacentral:rRNA from 1 species
CAACUCGCCUGCAUGAAGUCGGAAUUGCUAGUAAUCGCGGAUCAGCAUGCCGCGGUGAAUACGGUUCCCGGGCCUUGUACACACCGCCCGUCACACCAUGGGAGUCGGUAACACCCGAAGCCGAUAGUCUAACGAAAGAGGACGUCGUCGAAGGUGGGAUUGAUGACUGGGGUGAAGUCGUAACAAGGUAUC